GGCUUAGAGUUUGAUCAUGGCUCAGGAUGAACGCUGGCGGCGUGCUUAACACAUGCAAGUCGAACGGAGUGCCUUUGAAAGAGGAUUCGUCCAAUUGAUAAGGUUACUUAGUGGCGGACGGGUGAGUAACGCGUGAGGAACCUGCCUUGGAGUGGGGAAUAACACAGUGAAAAUUGUGCUAAUACCGCAUAAUGCAGCUGGGUCGCAUGGCUCUGACUGCCAAAGAUUUAUCGCUCUGAGAUGGCCUCGCGUCUGAUUAGUUAGUUGGUGGGGUAACGGCCCACCAAGGCGACGAUCAGUAGCCGGACUGAGAGGUUGGCCGGCCACAUUGGGACUGAGACACGGCCCAGACUCCUACGGGAGGCAGCAGUGGGGAAUAUUGGGCAAUGGGCGCAAGCCUGACCCAGCAACGCCGCGUGAAGGAAGAAGGCUUUCGGGUUGUAAACUUCUUUUCUUAGGGACGAAGCAAGUGACGGUACCUAAGGAAUAAGCCACGGCUAACUACGUGCCAGCAGCCGCGGUAAUACGUAGGUGGCAAGCGUUAUCCGGAUUUACUGGGUGUAAAGGGCGUGUAGGCGGGAUUGCAAGUCAGAUGUGAAAACCACGGGCUCAACCUGUGGCCUGCAUUUGAAACUGUAGUUCUUGAGUACUGGAGAGGCAGAUGGAAUUAAGCC
rnacentral:rRNA from 1 species